AAAGUUCGAUACAGAGAAGAAAUGGCGAAUCACUCUGACCCCGAGUCAUGCGUUGUACACCGUGAGGUGUGCAACGAAGCGUUGACAGGGGAAACCGGCAGGCCAGCCAUAGAGCCGCGAAAUCACUACUGUCAGGAGAUUUAAUCGAAUAAAUUCAAUUGGUUGGUGUUUAUCAUCGUCUGUGUCAUAUUUUC
rfam:Gammaproteobacteria bacterium RIFOXYD12_FTLL_61_37 rifoxyd3_full_scaffold_2179, whole genome shotgun sequence.